AGAACGAACGCUGGCGGCAGGCCUCAAACAUGCAAGUCUAGGGGUGUAGCAAUACACACCGGCGGACGGGUGCGUAACGCGUGGGAACAUACUUUUCGGUACGGAACAACCCAGGGAAACUUGGGCUAAUACCGUAUACGUCCUAACGGAGAAAGAUUUACCGCCGAAGGAUUGGCCCGCGUUCGAUUAGCUAGUUGGUGGGGUAACGGCUCACCAAGGCGACGAUCGAUAGCUGUUCUGAGAGGAAGAUCAGCCACACUGGGACUGAGACACGGCCCAGACUCCUACGGGAGGCAGCAGUUGGGAAUCUUGGACAAUGGGGGAAACCCUGAUCCAGCCAUGCCGCGUGAGUGAUGAAGGCCUUCGGGUUGUAAACUCUUUCGACGGGGACGAUAAUGACGGUACCCGUAGAAGAAGCUCCGGCUAACUUCGUGCCAGCAGCCGC
rnacentral:rRNA from 1 species